rnacentral:lncRNA from 1 species
GAUGAUCUUUUGUGGCAUCAUGAUCCAUAAUCUUUAGCGGAUUCGAUCAUCAUCAAGUUCUCUAGGUUCUCCAAGUUGGUGUGGAAUUACCAACGAGACUUGAUUUUGAUCAUACAAACAGGAAUUGUAUAUACGCUAAUGUGAUAAACUUAUUUGAGAUUAUCCCCUAAUGUGGGGACAACAAUAUGGGUCAUGGCAACGGCAGAAACGUCGUGCCGAUGUCUAGAAAAGAGGGGGAGGUGUUGCCGGCUCUAAUAGCGACACUCCCGGUCUAGACACCAUUUUGUCAAAACUACUCACGUCAGCUCAUGACAUUAAUGCAACCGUUGUGGAUCUUCGGAUCGCUGGUUCAAGAUUGUCAAGCUCCUUUAAAUUGUGAAUGCAUACAAAAAUGUAUGGAAAAUCAAUAUGAGGACAAGAACGUCAUCCUCAUGAUCGCGCAUUUCAAAGAUUUGGAUCCUGCUCUAGCUACCCAUGACUUUGAUGUCAUCGGCUAGACAUUGAUUUUCGUUCCAAGUUAUAUGUACUAAGGCGUUGUAUCGACGUUCUUUGUCUAUUUGAGACCUCGAUGUACUCACAUUAGCAAUAAUGAAUUCCUUGAGAAUUUUUCGAAGUGAAACUAUUCUCCUCUUAUGGUUCAUAUUGAUUUACAAUCAAGAUGUACACUUACAUCGUCCUUAGAAACAUGACAUAUUGUGCCGAUUUUGGUCAUUUCUUUUGAAGGUGACUCAUGGCACUGCAUCCUCAAGGAGGAUCGCCCACGUGUUUCCGGUUAAGUCUUCUACCCUAUAGCGGAUUUUUCAUCAUCAAUUGUUCAACUAGGCUCAUCCAAGCUCAGUGUGAUGUCUUAGAAUUGUCCGAAAUUAAGGAGAUAGUGGUUUUAAGUGUGCCUCGCACUACCGACCCUCCACGGACAUGCCUGGUCAUACUGACUUGGAGUUACCGAAAGCUUUUGAUUUUGGAUCCCCUUACGCUAUUAAACCAAUUGCCGUCUUGCAAAAGACGUUGAAGACUUAUCAAAGCUGGAAAAUUAUCAUCAUAAUCGGAUCUUCUAGGUCCUCUGAGUUAGUUUAUGUUCAUGUCAGGGAGCUUUUGCUGACUAGUCAUGGAGUUUACGACCUUAGAACGAUCGAAAGGACUUGGUUUUGAUCAUACACACGUCAAUUUUGGCUAAGGAAAAAGCCUACACGCCACCUGCAAGCUUCACAGCUUCGCACAUGCCAAAUCUGCGAAAAACAGCAAUCUGUCCCUUUUGGACAGUCAACUUCGUUUGAGCUUUGUGGACAGCUCCGGACGAACCAGACAGUGAGCUUUAUAUCAUUGGAAAGCUCUAUGAGUCUAGUUUUCAUAACUUUUCACGGUUUGUCCAUAUCUAUUUUAACGAAGAAGUUAUGGCUGUUUUAGUGCGCAAAGGUCAUUCUGCGAGAAAAUUUUUCUACACUCUCAGGAUUGCAGCUUUUCGUAGCUUCUUUCAAUCCUUCUAAAUGGUUCAAGUAGAACUAUUUACUCGCCUAUCUACUCCUUGUAGUUAUGUCUCAUAGAGACAUUGAGUGCUUCGCAGAUAGUGGAACUAUCCACAACAUUCUAUGGAACCAUGUUGAGCUUUAAAGACAUUCAUGCUAAUGGUUUUCAUUUGAAAACACAUUGUGAGAAUGAACAAGAAUUCUUUUGUGUAUACCUUCUCAUGAAUGCGAACUGAAGCGCAUCUUGGAGAAAUUCAUGAGUCAUUUUAGUGAACUGUAUGUCACUACGAUUCGAAUAUCGAAUCCCAUGUUGUCGCCAAACAUGAUAAUUGGGACACCGACUCAUAUAGGCUUUGGUUUGACCAAAUUGGUAAACCUGGAAGAGAUAUAAUGGUCCAAAUUUUGAGAAAUUCUCAUGGACAUCCAUUCUUCCGCUCAAAACGAAGACAUUCGAGAUCUAGCAUCACCAUGAAGCAUGGUGGUGACCCGGGGGACAUUGACGUCACCUGAACACGACUCCAACUUCCUAGAGGUCGUUCGGUCAAUUUCUCAAGCAAUUGAGAUGCACCGGUCUUUCCUCGAUGUUGCAUUGGCCCCCUGCAAUGCUCAUUGCUCGUUUUGAAAGCCUAUUCUUUAGCUAAAUAAGGAGUGAGACCCUCCUACGCUAAAUAACACAAAAGUGAACAUUCUAUUCUUACAUCAAACUAUGUAGAUAGAUACAACCAACUUGCGGACACCUUUUUAUGUUUUAUGGUGUUGGUUGAAGUGUUAACACACUGGUCACGUGUUACACUAUUAUCUACUGUUUAUACUGCUUAUACUUCUACGGGCUCACUACCCAUUCUUUAAAGAAGUUUAUCGGGAUGUAAGUUGAAGUGUCCUGUACCCCAUGUUCACACGCAAUACGGUCUCACCGAGGCUACGACUAAGCAACUUUAGCUUGUCGCUCGAACAUUAUUGAUGCGCACCAAUCUUUCUAUUGCGUCUUGGGGCUAUGCAAUAUUUGCAUGCAGCUUUACUAUUCAUCUACGACCCACCAUCAUUGAAUUUUGUUGUACUACAGCUCGUGACUGUGUACCAGGAUUGACACGAAAUUGCAAUCCUUGAGCUCGGCAAGAUUGAAACGGAUCUCCAAUCCUUAAGCUCAGCUAGAUGUUAUUUCUAGGUGCCAAAUCGCAUUGCCACUGCGUACAAUGAUGGGUCAUUUGAGAUGAAUAAGUUUAGGUUGGAUAUGAACCUCCACCUAUAAUCCGCAUAUGUAGAAACCUUGUCAGGCGAUCUCAUUCACCGCUAAAUUGCGGAUUGUCACUUUGAUGAGACAAUAUUCCAGCCGUUAGGGGGAGAUAAGAACACAAGUGUUCAAGUGGAACGACGUGAAUUGUAUUGGUUUGUCCCCACUAAGUCUCAUCUUGAUCUCAAAUGCUUAAAGUGUUAAAGUGACGAGAUCACAUGCUGCAAAUAUGUCUGCAAUAUGUCUACAAGGAUUGAUGUCCUACAAAAAGACAUGGCACGACCAAAAGGUGUUGGUCUUAACCCCAUCACCAUGGAUGGUGAUAUGGUGACGCCAUAUAGUGGCAAAAUUGGUGUCAUAAGGCCGUGUGGCUCCCUAAAAGGAGGGAGGCCCUUAGGUUCGAUAUUUUCUCGCACUAGGAAGAAAGCGAGAUUGGCACAACCUGAUCCAUUAAUCAAUGAUACUCAAAUCCGUCUCAUGAAGUCUGAAUUGUGAUUAUCGUUGGAGGACGCCUCAAUGUCAAAUCCAAUCCAUAUAGAGAUCUCUACAAGUAUUACACUAGUGUACAUGAGGACGUGAGAUAAUGAGUCUACUAUCAAACCACUCUUCGUUGAUGGAUUUCAACUUAGUUGAUUGACCUAAUGGAAAGAUGCGAUCCAGCAUUAACAAAGAGAUAGGUCCUUGAGUAGGUGAUGCCGACACCGCAAGCUAAACCCUAUCAACUAUGCAUUUGUUAGAUAGCGUAGUGAAAGUAAGAGCUUAGACUCACCUUAUGGCGCAAGGUCUUUCACUAACACGCACUGGGAUCAACUACGAUGAGAUAUGCUCUCGUAAUGGAUGUCAUUGAACUCCACUACUUUGUCAGUUUGGUAGUUUCCGAAUAACUGAACAUGCAGCCUAUGAAUGUGGUCAUAAUAAUAUCUCUAUGGGAUCAGAGAUAUACAUGAAGAUCUUAAACGGACUUCAUUCAUCCGAAAUCAAGUGGCUCCAAACUACAGGAGCAUGCGUUUGCUAAAUGUAUUGAAACGCACAUGGACUCUACUUGAUUUGGAAGGGAUAUGGUGAAUUAUGCCUUUGCGUGUUCAUUCCGGAUUUACAUGGACUCUUGAUGGAUCUAGAGAUGCCAAUAUGUAUCAACAUCCGAAGAAAAAGAUCUUGGGAAGACAUGGUCUCGAUAAGGCACUCGAUGACUGUAUUGAUGAUGACUUUCCAUCAAUCGACUUAGGCGCUCUAUAACUAGUGAGGCCUACAUAUACUCCCAUGAUUAGUCAAGGUCUUUACUUUAAAGAGAGAUCCGUUGUUUGUCUAAAGCAAGAUGACAAAUAUGUGUUUAAAGAGAUGGAGUUUCCCAUCUAAGUACAAUAAGACGCAUCAAUGUACUCAACACAAUACGAAAACUUGACAUCUCAUUCGCUAUAAAAAGUUGUAAAAGCUAAGUGUAGCUAUGCGCCCACGCAAUGCCAAUGUAAUGGCAGUAACUCCUUUUUCAAUACUUAAUGGUAUGAAAGGUUGAGGCUUAUUCUAUCCCUACAUAAGAAAGACACAUCAAUAGCAAAAUCAGAAUCUGCCAAGUUUCGUAGGUCAAGCUCCACGGGACUUACAGGAAACCUCACUCACUGGAAUAUGGUAAAAUUGGUACCAUUGGAAGGGUCUAUGUGUCUACUUUCCAGAGACACCAACCAUUUGAUCAUACCUAUCAUAUUGAGUGAGUUAUGGCCGUUUUCGUAAAGUAUGAUGAAUCUGUCCGAGAAUCUGAUUUUGGCAAAACAGUCAACUUCGACGGGACUUUGUGAACAGCUCUUGAUGAACCAGAAUGUGUGUAAUAUACGGUUGGAAAGCUAAAUGAGUCUAGUUUCCAAAACCGUUUACGGUUCGUUCAUAUGUAUUUCCUAGAGGAAGUUACGACUGUUCUAGUAAUUGAAGAUCAUGCUGCGCGGAAACCUGAUUUCCUGCACGAACUUAUGUUUUGAGUUCACAAGCGACCUUCUCCUCAAUAUCUAAGUGUNNNNNNNNNNNNNNNNNNNNUUUUUUGUAACUUGACGAGGUUUUUUGACGAGGCAACAGAUCAGCACCAUCGGCAUAUCAGCGCGCGGCACAAGGGGGAGUGUUCUAGGAUAUUCUCUAUGUGUGCCUUGGCCUUAUGCCAAUAUGAUAUGUAGUUAGACUAGAUCUAUGUAUUCAUAUUCUUACCAUAUUGGUAUUGUGUAAUUCCCUAUACAAAGGGCUCCUAUCAAUGAAUAAGAUGAUGAUUCUCUUGCUAUCUCUUUGUCUCUACCACUUUAUACUUCAUCAUAGUUUAAAUAUUUAACUGUGACGGAUCGUUCGUUGUAGUAUAGUUUACAUGGAAGUACAUGUUUGUCAAUACAAUAGAAAGGAAAAGCUCCCCAAUACAUUACGACUACAUAAUGAUAAUUAAUCAAAUGUGUCCCUCACUAGCUAAAAGUCUAAAACCAUAAACUCAAUUUCUUCUUAUGCAUGACGAGCAAGAAGUUGCAAAGAAAAUUGAAGACUCCAAAGAGUCUGACUUGGAGACUAGACAGCACAUAUUGUCACUGAGACAUCCCAUUAAAUGGGAACCUCCGAAAACAAAUCAAAACUAAUUAUUGAAUUCCAGAAAUAAUAAUGCUAAUCAUGUGUGAUGAGAAACCGAUUUAAUUAUACCCAAAGAGAUAAGGGGUCCUAAAUUUUUUGGUGAUGAUAAACUCCCCCAAAGCAGUAGUUGGUCUAGGAUCACGAGCUUUUCCCACCCCUUUAUAACUGGGUCUCUUUAUUUAGGAUAGUUUCCUUCUGAUGGAGGACACCAAUAUGGCACUUAACCAUUGGCCAAAACUCAAUUAAAAGUUGAAUUAUCUUCUUGGCUACAUUAUUUUUAGCUUCCAUUGGUUGUAUAAGAUCCCUACAUGACUUGGAAAUGUUCUUUCUUUUGAGUUUUACCUAUAUUAAUAACAAUUUUCUUCAUUUGGGAAUUGGAAUUUGAGAUUUGGGACCUCUUAUAUUUUUUCAUAGUUGGAAUUUUAAGAAUGUGGAUGUGAAUUUUUGCAUAAGCAUUUUGUUAUUUUGUGGUUGAAAUUGUUCCUUUUUGCAUAAUUUGCUCCAGUAAUAUAUGUGGAAAAAGCAAUCUAGUACGUUAUGGUAGAACAUUCAAUUGCUGCCAAAUUUAGAAAAGGCUGACGGUAGCGUACCACCCUGCUCUGAUUCCAUAUGUACCCAAAUUCUGGUCAUCUCAUACCAAAAGAAGGGACAAUCUCUUAUGUGGUUAUGAUUUUUUUAUUUAUUAUUAUUAUUUUUUUUUAUCAAAAUGGUUAUAAACUACCACAGCCCGUAAGGAAAAAAAAUGAUUAUACACUUUUUUGGAUGUAAAAUGAUUAUAAACUUUUUUUGGAUACAAAAUGAUUAUAAACUUUUGGUAGCACUCACAUUCUCAUAGUAUCAAAAUCAUAAAGAAGUCUUCUUUUUUUUUUGCUCGAGUCUUGACCUCAAUAAAAUGAAACAAAAUAGAUAACGAAUUAAACAUGAUCGUUAAGUUCAAACUAAACUGUUCUAUAAUGAAAGUUUAAGAAUCUUGGACGAGAUAAAUUAAUAGAAAAUAAAUUAGUUUGGCUAGAGACAAAUACAAUAGUCGAAUAUACAUUUGGGCGAAUUAUGGUGUUGGAUAAUCAAAUCUAUAUCCAUUAAGAUUAAUCAAGUUAAUAUUAUUCAUCAUAAUUUUGAAGAAACACCAGGUCCAUCUAAAUUUGUCUCGUCUAAGCAUCGUCUUCCACCUUGACUCGCAGUAUGAAGAGUGCUCCUAACAAUGGAGAGAGUGAAGACCCUUUCGCUUACGUCCAACUAGGUACAAAAAAUACAUGAACCAGUAAACUCCCUCCUGGGGCAAUUUGAUCAAAAGAGAAUAGAGGAAUGUCACUCUAAAUCAUUUUGUGGGUUGACACAUUGCUCGAAAAAAAUAGGCCUAAUCACUUACGAAAUCACCCACAUCUUUUUUUUUAUGGUUUUGAUCGACUAUAGAUUAUUACUUAAGAGGUCCAACGGAUUCAGGUAAUCGUCAUUGGGCCGAGUUAUUACUAUUGAUUAUUUAGUGAUUUGGUGUUAUUGAUCGAAUUAAUAUGAAUAUCGAUAUUUGAACAAAAUUACAAUAAGCGGAAUUUAAACUAAUGUUGAGAUUCAUAAUUACUGAUCAAUACAAUUGUUAAGUUCCGUGUAGUUCUCGAAAAAGAAACUUGAUAAGCAUACAAAAUCUUACGUAAGUUAUCUAUGCACGUUUGCAUGUUUGUCGGACUUUGAUUACGUAAUGACUUAUUAUCAAAUUAUGGUUUUUAACAUUAAUGGAAACAAGACUCUUUUAAGAAACCACAUAUUCGAGAUAAUUGAUUACAUCAAUAAGUAUAAUCAUCGGUUAAUAAAGUAAUAAUCACAUUGAUGUUGUUCAACUUCGUAAAUUUUCAUUUUCAUUUAAAGACACCGUUUCAAAAAACGAAACUACAAGAGUUUUAACACAAAAUGUCUCUAUUCAACAGUGUCAUUCUUACCAAACUCUGAUAUUUUACUUGUUUUCAACCACAGGCAACAAAAGAAAGUGUACAGAAAAUGGAAAUAAAUUUGGCAAAUUAGGAGACACAGAAUUCCAUAAAAGAGUAGGAAAAUGUUUAAAUGCCCCUUUGGACCUUUCCAUGCACAUUUAUUUCUAUAUUUUCUCUAAAAUCCAAUAUAAAAAGAACACAUUUUUGUGAACCUUUUCCUCAUCCCCUUACUUUCACUACUGUCUGUCUUCCUUUCUCUCUCUUCAAGAUGGCCUUGAUAGCCCACCCAUAACUCUCUCUCUCUCUCUCUCUCUCUCUCUCUCUCUCUCUCUCCAGUACGAUAUAAUUGUGUGCAUAAAAUAUAUAAGCUUUGUGGGUUUUUGUUUUGAGGUCCUAUGAGAUCUACUGCUUGUGUAAGACUUGGUUUAGAUAAAGAUUGGCAGAGGAACUGAACACAAACAAUAUAAGAGAAAAGGAAAGCUCAGAACCUCAGAGGAAGGUAAGCUUAGCAUUCCAAAACCCUUAAAACCAAUCCUACUCAUAAAGUUGUAACCUUUAUAUGUGCUUUUGACUUGAUUGAUCAUUUUGAUUGAACCCCAUAUGCAUCAUCAUCCUUGGUAUUCGUGUAAAUGGUCUUUUGGGUUUCUGCUUCUUUGGAUGCUUCAGAUCCAUGGCGAUGGAUUCUGGUAAAUUUCUCAGCACCCAGAUUCUGAAGGGUUUUGGUUUUUCUUUGAACUUCACCUUCUAUUAAAGUUUAAACCUUUAUCUGCCUCUUGUUUGUGGUUUGGAGUCGUUUUUUCAUUUUGGAAUGCUGGGCAAAGAUAUGAGGUGGGUUUUUGCAGUUCUUAUGGGAAUAGUUUUUGGCAUUUAAUUUGUUGCUGUUAGGCCCUUGUUACUGAAGUUUGAAUAUUCUCUUUACCAGUUUCUCUGCUGAUCAAAAUUUUGAGGAAGAUAGCAUAAGCAAGUUUUCUACAUGGAGUUCAUUGCUGUUAAUGUGCUUAAUACAAAAUGUAAAUGAACUUGCUUGACUACUAUUAUGGCUGUCUUAAAUUUUUGAUUUUUUCAUAGAAAUAGGCAGCUAAAAUGCAUUGAUAUUGAUUUUUGCCCUGUUUUUUGGGUGUAUCAGACUAAUGCUGUUUUUCUGAAUCAGGAUUGGAGGUCAGAGGCAGGGUAUCAAGUCAUUGGACUAGUCAAAGUUUGUUGAGUUUUUGUUAGUUGUGCUUUCUAAUUGCCAGUAGCUUCAUAGGGAUUGGAUUGACCCUCUAACUAUACUGAGAAGAUAGAAGAGAACUUUAUGGGUUAACAUUCUACUCUGCAAUGACAUCUAAUUUCGGGAACAUCAGGUUAGUAUCUGAUGAUCACAGUUGGUGCUUAAAGAUGGGUAUGUAGUAGUCAUGUCAAAAGAAGUUAGAUCUGAUAUGGUGUAUUGGAGUAGAUUGCCCGGCCACCUUAUCAGAAGCUUUAUUGGAUGUACUUUCUUUUAGGCAUUUUUGUUAUCCAGAGACAUCAGCCUCGUUCAUGUCAGCAGUGUCUUGUCACAUGUGUCGGAACACUGAGAACCUCAAAAUGGGAUUAACGGUUGUACAGUUUAUCUAGGGUUGUAGUCAAUUGGUGAUCCUGUGGCUUGAAAGUGUUUAUUUCUAGUCCUCCUAUAUUAAUUCUUACGCCCUCAUCAUUCCUCUUCUUUGGUGUCCCCAAAUUCGAGGCCCUCUUCCCUGUUGUGCUCCUGUCACUCUUCAUCUAUCUCAUCGUUGAAUUUCUUCCAUCUUUCCUUUUCUUCACAAGGAGCGACUAGCUCAGUUGGCAGUUCUAGUUGGUUCAAUUAUUCAGGAAGUCACUCUGCAAGCAGAACAGUUCCAUCUUAUUUCUGCACAAGAAAAUCAUUGCACCGCCAAUUUCGCUUGUCCUAGAGACUGAUAGCUAAUAUGGAGUCUGCUAGCUGUAUUGCUAACAAUAGACCAGGUGCUGUCCAUCAGUUGCUUCCUGUUGUUGGACCUAUGCUUCUGAUUGCAGUUGGAUAUCUUGACCCUGGAAAGUGGGCGGCAACUGUUGAAGCAGGUUCCCGAUAUGGUACUGAUCUGGCUGCAGUGAUGUUUAUAUUCAAUUUGGCUGCUAUUUUGUGUCACUAUCUGUCUGCUCGGAUUGCUGUAGUCACUGGAAGAGAUCUUGCUCAGGUACCAUUCUUUCUUAUGUAGGGUUUUGUUAAGUUGUCAUUCUUCUCAUUCUCAGUAGCAGAAGUGCUACUUGAAUGCAUACUAGCAUACACUGUCUCCUCAUUGCAUCUUCUUAAUAUAAGUCCUUGCUCUCUCUCUCUCNNNNNNNNNNNNNNNNNNNNNNNNNNNNNNNNNNNNNNNNNNNNNNNNNNNNNNNNNNNNNNNNNNNNNNNNNNNNNNNNNNNNNNNNNNNNNNNNNNNNNNNNNNNNNNNNNNNNNNNNNNNNNNNNNNNNNNNNNNNNNNNNNNNNNNNNNNNNNNUCUCUCUCUCUCACUCACUCUCUCUCUCUCUCUCUCUCUCUCUCUCUCACACACACACACACACACACAUUGUAGACAGACACUUCUACACACGAUCCUUGUUAGCUGGCAAAGUUUUUAACACUUCAUUUUCUUCUUAAUUUUAAUUAUGCCUGUAGAUUUGUAGUGAAGAGUAUGACAAGGCUACAUGCAUAUUCUUAGGCGUACAAACAGAGAUGUCGGUGAUUUUGUUGGACCUUACCAUGGUAAUUUCUCUUUCCUCGUCAGUGAUUAUCGGUAGUAUCAUUGCUGAAACAAAGUUGUAUACUCGUGUUUUAUGGUUGCUCUGUUUUUUAGAUCCUCGGUAUCGCACAUGGACUUAAUCUUCUGUUUGGGUGGGACUUGUUCACUUGUGUGUUUUUGACUGCUGCUAAUGCUGUUUUAUACCCUCUUUUUUCCACCCUCCUGGUAAGUAUCAGAACUUGCUUUCUUGUUUUACAUUACGAUUGUUUGCAUUAUUCGUUACAAAAUAAUUAACUCUCCUAUUGCAGGACACUUGCAAGGCGAAAUUCCUAUGUGUGUGCAUAUACGUUGCAGGAUUCAUACUGCUUUCCUUUGUUCUUGGAGUAUUCAUCAGUCAACCGCAAAUGCCACUUUCCAUGACUGGGAUGCUAACAAAAUUGAGUGGGGAAAGUGCUUUUUCACUGAUCGAGUCUUCUUGGAGCUAGUAUUAUNNNNNNNNNNNNNNNNNNNNUUUUUCUUGUUGCAUACUGUGUCUUUACGUCUUUUGGUUCACACAAUUUUUCAUUGCAAAAUGAGUUCAUUCAGGGAAGUCUGUUUAAUAAAUUUCCGUAAAAUGACUUCUAUUUGUUGGAAGCCUCAUAAAUUAUAUCAGUUGACUUAUUCAGUGCACUUCAUUGAGAAAGGCAGAUGUUUCCAUUUUCAAUAGUCAGUGCACUUCAAUAGAGGCAAUUGAGCCACACAAGCACAAAUCUUCUUCCUUUCUGUCUAGAGAAAAGAAAAGGUUCCACACUUCCACUUAUAAGAGAAUAUGAGAUUAUCUUGGUAGAGGUAUUGGGUGUAAAAAUAAACACUUAAAAGACAUGAGUAUCAAACUAUCCCUGUUGCACGACGAAGUUCUGUUACCACCUCACACUUCUUGUUUUUUUUUUGAACUAAACAUGUUUACGUAUAGCUGAUUUUGGUGAUGGUCAUUUCUCUCAACUUUCAUUUAUUUUAAUUCUGCAGCAGCAUCAGCAACAACAAACUGUUUCUAAGGAUACUUUGUGUCAGAACCAUUUUGUCGCCAUCUUCUGCAUGUUUAAUGGUAUUUAUUUGGUGAAUUAUGUUCUGAUGACCUUAGCAGCAAAUGCAUUCUACACUUCACGUGGUCUUCUUACUUUUCAGGAUGCAAUGUCCCUUAUUGAACAGGUUUUAAUUUCUCUCCAUGAUCACAUGCUUUUGAUGAUUUUUGUUUACGGUACUCGACUAAUCGUUCAGUACCAUGCUGGACACUCAAAUUUAAGUGCUUUUAAAUUAUGCAGGUCUUUUGGGGUCCAAUAGUUCCUGUUGCCUUCUUGCUGGUUCUCUUUUUAUCAAAUCAAAUCACAACAUUAAGCUGGAGUCUGGGUGGACAAGUAGUCUUGAAUGACUUCUUAAAACUGGACCUUCCUGGUUGGCUUCACUGUGCUACAAUCAGAAUCAUUGCUGUUGUUCCUGCUCUGUAUUUUGUUUGGAGCUCAGGAGCUGAGGGGAUGUAUCAACUGCUUGUAUCUACACAGGUGUUGGCAGCCCUGCUACUGCCAUCUUCUGUGAUCCCUCUUUUUCGUGUUGCUGCUUCAAGACAAUUAAUGGGAGCCCAUAAGAUUUCUCAGUUCGUUGAAUUUUCAGCCCUCAUUACACUUAUUGGGAUGCUUGGAUUAAAAGUUGUCUUUGUAGUGGAGAUGAUUUUUGGGAAUAGUGAUUGGGUGGAUAAUUUGAGAUGGGAUGCUGGGAGUAGUAUGUCUGUACUUCUCAUCACUGCUUCUGCAUCAUUUUGCCUGAUGAUUUGGUUGGCAGCCACACCGUUAAAAUCUGCAAGUGCUCGAAUAGAGAACCAGGUGUGGAACUGGGAUAUGCCUAAGGGUGUCUCGGAGCCAUUUAGAAAUAAGGAGACUGAUAUAGCCGAACAUAACUAUCAUAGAGAUGCAGAUAUACAGAAGCAUGAACCAUCACCAUCAUCUGGGGACGCAUUGGAUAGAGAAUUAGAUACAGCCGUUGCAAAUUUUGAUUUUGUUCUGCCUGAAACUCUCUUGGAGCCUGAUCAGGAGCUUCAACUAUCUGGUGUAGAGGAAAAUAGUUCUCUUGGUACCUUUCCUCACUCUGCCAAAUGCAGCAAGGAGGAACCCACACCUGUAGUAGAAUUAACUCGCGUCCCAACUGUGGCUAAUGAGGUUUCUGAUGUUACAGUACUGGGCACCGAUACUGUGAAAUUUGAAUCAACAGAGCAAGUUGAGAAGACUCUUGCAACUGAAGGAGACUUGCCAACUGAAAAAGAUGAUGAUGAGGGAGAUACCUGGGAACCAGAAGAUUCCUUGAAAGAGGCUUCAGAGAGCACCACGUUAACAUCUGAGGGUCCAGGAUCAUUCAGGAGUCUCAGCGCAAAAGGUGACGAAGGGGGGAGCGGUGCUGGAAGCCUCUCAAGACUAGCAGGGUUGGGCCGUGCUGCUAGACGUCAACUAGCUGCUGCACUCGAUGAGUUUUGGGGACAACUGUAUGAUUUCCAUGGGAAUGUAAUUAAAGAAGCAAGAACAAAGAAACUGGAUCUGUUGUUGGGGUCAGAUUCAAAGGCUUCUUCUGCUGCUUCCUCUGCUUCUUCCUUGCUGAAAGAUGAUACCACUGCAAAAGAAGUUUCUGGAUGCUUUCCAUCUGUAGGAGGCAAAGGAUCUGAUCCUUUAAUCAACUUGAGUUUAUAUGACUCUGUAAAUCAGCAGAGGCUGCAAAACAGUAUAGAGUCAGCAUAUGGCGCUCAAAGGGGAUCUUCCUUGUUAUGGCCCGGCCACAUGCACUUGCUGGAUGCGUAUGUCCAAAAUUCAAGCCGCAGUGUUAUUGACUUGGGUGAGAGGCGCUAUUCAAGUGUGCACAGUAUACCAUCUUCUGACUUGGGUGAGAGGCGCUAUUCCAGUGUGCGCAGUAUACCAUCUUCUGACUUGGGUGAGCGGCGCUAUUCAAGUGUGCGCAGUAUACCAACUUCUGACUUGGGUGAGAGGCGCUAUUCAAGUGUGCGGAGCAUACCAUCUGCUGAGAGCUGGGAUUACCAGCCAGCCACAGUACAUGGUUAUCAGAUGCCAUCGUAUCUUAACCGUAAUGACAGAAGUUCCAGUAACUUGAAUGGUCAAAUAGAGUCACCAGCCCUAAAUUCUGCUUCUUCAUUGGGUGCUGGAAACUACAGAGAUUCACUUGCAUUUACCAUGGGGCAGAAGUUGCAAAAUGGGUUAGGCUCUGUUCAGGCUUCCAGUUUUCAGAACCUUACAGUAUCUCGACAAAGUCCAUUGCAAUCUGAUAGACCAUAUUAUGAUGUACCCUCCUCUGGAAUUUCGGAGAAUGCGGUAAACUCAGCCAAUGCAAAGAAAUACCACAGUCUACCUGACAUUAACCGUGAUCUCUACAACUCUAGUAAAAGUGCUCCACGGGAUCCUCCUCCUGGGUUUGGGAUAAUGGGUUAUGAAUCAUCCUUGUAUCCAAAAUCUGGUGUAAGGGGGGGAGGUUCUUUGGCAUUUGAUGAAGUCUCUCCAUCUAAUGUCUAUAAAGAUGUUCGAUCAUCCCAACCGAAUUCUAAUUAUGGCACUGGAUCCCUCUGGUCUAGACAGCCUUUUGAGCAAUUUGGUGUAGCUGAUAAUAAUCGUUCUAUCGGGACUGCAGUUGGUAGUAGAGCAGGUUCUGCAGGUAUGGAAGCUACAUCAGUUGCAGAUUCAGAGGCAAAGCUUCUUCAGUCUUUUAGACACUGCAUUGUGAAGCUUUUGAAGUUGGAAGGGUCUGACUGGUUGUUUAGACAGAAUGACGGAGUGGAUGAGGAUCUAAUAGAUCGUGUGGCUGCCAGGGAGAAAAUUCUUUAUGAUGCUGAAACAAGAGAGAUUAAUCGAACAGUUCACAUGGGUGAAUCUCCAUACCCUUCUUCUGACAGGAAGUCUGCUUCUGCAAAAAUGAAUGAUGUGAAUCUCACCCAUCUCAUGGUUUCCUCGGUUCCUAAUUGUGGGGAAGGUUGUAUUUGGAGAUCUGAUCUAAUAAUAAGCUUUGGGGUCUGGUGUAUUCAUCGGAUUCUUGAUUUGUCCCUUAUGGAAAGCCGGCCAGAGCUUUGGGGGAAAUAUACAUAUGUUCUGAAUCGACUUCAGGUAAACUCUAAAGCCUUCUUCUUACUUAUGAUUCCAAUUUUUGCAAGUUGAGUAUGGUUUCUACAUAAGUUUAUUGUCUCGGUCUAGACUUAUCAACCAAUCAGAAUAAGGUUAGGAGUAGCGGUCAUGCCAACUUGAGUUUGACAAGGUAACAUCUGCAUUGGAUCCUUGAUUUAACUGUUGUGGAAAUUUGGUGGCAUUUAUUUUACUAAUCUUUUAUGAGUAAUACUCCUUCAGAAUUUAGAAUUGUCUAGAAACAAAGUUAGAUGAAAAGAGACAGGAAAGGAGAAGAAGAAAGGAGAAUAGGAAAUUGUCUAUGAUUUUGUUCUUUACAGUUGUUGGUAUCGUCUUAACAAUAGUCAUGUAUUAAGUCCCAUUGAUAGUGGCCAGUCCAACUCAGAUGAGGACCAGAUAUAACAAAAUCACCCCGAUGAAUAGAUUCCUAGAAAUUCCUUAAUAUAAAGUACUAAAUUGAGUCUAACACUCCCCCUGGACAUAAAUGUUGUUGAAGGUAAAGUGUAACCUUUCAACUUCUUAUUAGGCUUGCUGUCGUAGCUCCUUGAAUUGCAGUCUGCUACCAUAGUAUACAACUAGAUCUCCUUACUAUAUUUGUUUGUAUUUGUAUUUGCAAAGCUUGUCUUCCAAUGAUGUUUAUGACCGGUCUAUCUUUGUAAUACAGGGCAUUAUUGAUGCUGCGUUCUCUAAGCCUCGUACUCCAAUGUCUCCAUGCUUCUGCCUUCAAAUUGCAGCAGCCCAGCAGCAGAAGUCUAGUCCAACAUUUUCGAAUGGAAUGUUACCCCCUGCUGCAAAACCAGCCAGGGGAAAAUGCACGACAGCUGUAACGCUCCUGGACAUAAUCAAGGAUGUGGAGAUUGCAAUUUCAUGCCGAAAGGGCCGGACGGGCACAGCAGCUGGUGAUGUGGCUUUUCCAAAGGGAAAAGAAAACCUGGCCUCUGUCCUCAAACGCUACAAGAGGCGGCUUUCCAAUAAACCUGUUGGCACUAACGAGGGGCCUUCUGGUUCACGCAAGGGUACUGCAACAUCUGCUCCUUAUGCGUCAUAGCCUUCAAAAUUGCCUGAUCAAAUCAAAUUCUCUCGUUGUAUCAAAGCCAUAGCUGCAAAAUUGUAUUUCCUUGUAUGUCAACGUAUACAUAGGGUAAGAACUGCUGAAUCUGUAAUUGCAGCAUCAUCAAAGAAAUUGGAUAGGUCAACAAAUUGGUUAUUGCAAAUUUUUGUUUUGCUUGCUUCUAUUACUUGUUACAAUAAAAUGGAAAGUUUAAAACUGAUGGGGGAUGAUGGGGCUCCCAAUCCUAGCCUUGAGUAUGCCCUUUUAGAAAUUUGGACUGUUAAAACUAUAAACAACUUUCUCUGUGUCAAAACAUAUCCCACUGUUAGGUUCAUAGGAUCUCAAUCAAGUUUAACUCAGUGUCACCUUAAGCCUUAAGUGGUGGGAAAUAUUUGUAUGUACCAAUGUACCAUAACAGAUAUUAUGAAAACUGAUAAUUGACGCUGGGAUUAAAGAAAAGCUUAAACAGUUGGGAGCAGGUUGAUUUAUAUGGGGAAUGGACAAAAUUACAAAUGCUGGUGGAGCACGUAAAGUAAGAUAAGACAUCAUCAAAUAGUGCUCGGUGGGUGGAUAAUAACAUCAGUAACACUCCAUCAAGUGAAAACAGUCACAAAUAAUGACAAUAUAUUGACUAAACAAUCAAUAACAUUUGAGUGAACCAAAAGACGAAUCAAGCCGCAAAGAAGAAACCUAGAAAUGGUUCAGAAGACAAUUCUUACUUCAUACCGGUUAACAAUCAGUCUCACAUUUACAUUUUAAAUGUCUUGGUAAGAUACUUCCGAUUAAAUUGUAAGUUCAAUUUGAUGAAAUGAAGUAUACAACAACUGCAUUGUGAGAUUUUUUUUUAAUGCUGAUGCUCUUAUUGCAUAUGUUUUCUUAUUUCUCGAUGUACAUCGUCUCUUUGUAUUUUUUUGAUUAUAAGUUUUGAUUAUAAUAGAAUGAUGACAUUUUCCAUAAAAAAUAAAAAAAAACACAUCAACGAGUCUAUUAUGAGCAUAUUAUCACUACAAUAAAUAGAAAUAGGUAGUUUGUGAGAUUGUUUUUUUAUCAAACAAAUAACUGAAUGUUAUAACGAGUCUAUCGACUCACGACCUCCACUUACAUAGGGAAACAUAUGCCACUAUACCAAAUAAACUAGGCACUUUGUGAGACUUUUAGUUUAAUUUUUAUGCAUAUUUAUCUAUUUUAUUGCCAAUAAUUUCUAAAUUUAAUUUGGUAGCAAGUAGUAACUCAAUUUGUGGAGCUAAGAAAUAAUUUUGGACCUAAGAAUGGACUCGUCAUUCACAAGUGACCAAUAAAAUAGUAACAAGUAUUUAGCAUCCAAGGUCAUAGCGUGGCCAUGUGGACAGUUUAUAGGCCUUCUCAUCAUUACAUUUUAUCGUCUCCGACAUUUCUCUCCAGAUUAGACUCUGCUCUCUCUUGUACUCUACAGCUGAGCUGUACUUGCUUCGUUUGGAAAACAAAGGCACUCCCAAGACCAAGAGGUAACCAAGUAUUAGCUCGAUCGUAUUUAUUUCUCAGUUUGAUGGAUUAGUUAGAUAUACAAUACCUACUUGAUUUUCUUUUUCAUUAGCUUGAUUACAAACAUGGAUCCAUGGUUUGUUUGUUAGCCUGAAAAUCAGAGUUGGAAAAUGGGAUUUGUAAUGGUGAUAUCGUUGCCGGUGAUACUGUUCAUCUUGAUCGUAGCUCUUGCCUUUUACCUUCUUGGCAGGGCAGAUGGCCGGAGAGAAGCAGUUCUUGUUGGACCUCCGGUUCCGGCGCCUCCGUUCCAACCCCAGGAGAAGCCAUCCGAGCAGGUCUAGGGUAUCAAUCAAUAUCCUUUGGAAUGAAUUGUUAAUUUCUCUGUUGUAGACUUGCAGUAAAUACCUAGUUCAGUCCCUUGCUUGUUAUAUAUAUUUCAUCAAGAUGAAUAGAUGAUGUGCAAACUGCAAAUUAAGUGGUUGUGUACUUUCUGUUCAAGUAUGAUAUUAAAUCUAAUUGUUUAGGGAUAUGAAUCAUAUGAUCAUAUGAACAAGAAUGAAGCUUGUUUCAUUUUAUUUGCCGUUACUCUCCAUGAAUUGAGACAAUGCGGUUGAAACAUCGGUAUUUUUUUUUUUUUUUUUUUUUUUUUUUUUUAACAAUCAAUCACUGAUAGUCAAUAAUUUUCGAACCAGAGUGACUUGUAUAUAACAUUCCGCUGUCAUUGGUUUUGGGGUCGAUUCUGUAAAAGAUGAAAUCAGUAAAUGGACCACGAUGAUACAUAGGGGUAGACCACUCAUAAAUAUCUAAUGUUCAUUUCAAAGCAAGCUUAUAAUCUAGUUAUGAAAAUGCAUAUCAAAUCAACAACCUAGCUAGGAAUCUAUUAUCUAGUCGAAUUAGGAAUGUGUAUCGUCCCUCCAGGAAUUACUUAUUAGAUUACAUAUAGGAGUCUCUAAACAACAGUUGAAAAUUAUUGAAAUAAAGAGCUACUAAACAUUCUACAAGCUUAGGGGAAAAAAUCCCUGGCCCAUAUCACCAAGCUCAAAGGGCCAAAGGACUGGACAAUACAGCAUAGCAUAAUACAUGUGCCCUUUGUUAAAAGAUGAGAAAGAUGGAAUCCGGUUUAGGGUUUAAGAGAGGAAAAGGAAGGUGGUGGAGUCAUGGCGGGCAUUGGUAAAUUGUUUUUGCCGGAAGAUAUCGUGGUGCAAAUCCUGAUACGACUGCCUCCUAAAUCUUUGAUGCGAUUCCAGUGCACCUGCAAGGUGUGGAAGGAACUGAUCAGCAGUACAAGCUUCAUCGCCAAACACCUUUACAUGUCUAGGCACAGCAAACUCGCCUCCUCUCCUCCCAUCCUUUUCAAGCGUCAUUUUUCAGACGACUGCAAAAUCAACAUUCAGAAUGAAAUGGGUUAUCCCUUCUAUCACACGAUUCGCGAGGUUGAAACACGACUCUCAAUAUAUGAUGAUGAUCACCUUCAUUUACCUGUUCUUGAUGAUAUUGAUGUUCCCCUUCCUAAGGUUGACUGUGAAGAUAGUGAUCCGUUGACUGUGAAGAUUUCCGGUCAUUGUGAUGGGAUUGUUUGUCUACAAGUUUACCUUGGUAACUUUAUGAUCGCUGGUAAUGCCAUAUUAUGCAAUCCGGGACUCAACGACUUCAAGCUUCUUCCCAAGUCUUGUGUUCUUCCUGACCUCAAGGACGCUGAUCAGGUCUCAUGCUUUGACGCAACGUAUUGGACAGAUUGUUUGGGGUUCGGGUAUGAUUCAAAAGGUAACGAUUACAAAGUCGUUAGGGUUCUAAUUUAUAACGACUCUCAUAUCUACGAUUAUAGAGCAGAGGUAUACACCAUGCGUUCUAAUUCUUGGAGAGAGGUCGAUUUUGGUAGAGAAUUAUCUAUUGACGACACAAAUGAUAGCAAGUCUCAUUUCUUAUUGAACGGAACUUAUUAUUGGCUGCAAUGGUCUCCAGUCAUCCUUUCAUUCAAUAUGGCUGACGAGGUAUUUGAUGAGAUACCGCUUCCAGAUAUAUCAUAUGAUGAUGAUCUCCCACAUAUCAAUAUUAUGCUAAUUGCAGCGUGCAAAGAAUCCAUUGCUCUAUUCACAUUUCAUGAUGAUGAUCUUCGUCAUCGUCCUGUUAGAUCUUUUGAUAUGUGGCUACUGAACGACUUGAAUGGUGUCGAGAGACUAUGGACCAAACAGUUCACCAUUGAAUGCGCAGAACUCAUAUGCAGCCCAUUGAUAUUUCGGGAGAGUGACGAGCUUCUUAUUGUUGCAGCUGAUGGACGUCUAAUCUGCUAUAACACCAGCACCCGAACGUUCAAGGAUUUGCCUAUUACGCGACGCUGGUCAUGCGAAACAUACAGUCAAGCAGUUCUUUACGCAAGUAGUAUUGUUGGGGUCAAUGGAGGAAGUAAACUUGAAGGCAUAGAUCGUUCCGCUUUCUACAACGUUGCUCAAUAUGUAUUAUGCACAUGCACUUCGUAUCAUGGACGACUGAAUGAGAUAUCUACAAUAUGCGGUGGUAAGUGGUAAGCCGUGACCUGGUUAGUUAGGUAGCCUAAUUGAGAACAUUUGAAAUUAUGGCAUGGGUUCAAAUCUCAUCAUGAUAUGUACAAUAUGUCACGAUGAUGAACAUUAAGUGUACACAAUUUUUCAUCUAUCUGUUAUUGAAGGAGAUUCCCGCAGACUUGGGGUCAAGCAAUACCCUGCAAGCAGAAGCUAGACGAUAGGAUGCAGGUUAACAAAACAACUGUUGUUCAAGCAGCUACAAGUAUUCACUCAUUGAAGGAGAUUCGACUUUGAUCACAAGCCAUCUCGACUACAUCAGCAUCUCAACUUCCCCUCCCUGGAGAGUGGAGAAUGAAGACAAAUAUAGCUAAAAUAAGUUUCUCCCUAGGAUGAUGUUCCUUUUGGGUUUGAUGUUGAUUAGAUUUCCCUGUACUUUUUUUCUUCUAGAUCUCUUAAUGCAACUUUGUUUGUCUCCACAAGAAGAAAAAACAAAAACAGAUGCAACAUUAUUUCUUCCCCAAUGACGUUUCCUCUUUUCUUUUCUCAUCCUUUCUCGUAUGUAUGCAACUCCAAUCGGAUGUUUCUCUCUUACUAGUUUGUUUUCUCUAUAUAAAGACAUAACAUCUGAUCUUCAAUCAAUCAAUUCAUCAAUAUUAAUGAAACUCAUAAAUCGAGCUAAUUAAUUUUACAUCCCAAAACUUUUCAUAAAUCGAGCUGUUGAAUAUUCAUAAUUGAGCCUGUUUAUGGGUGUCAGUCGUGUCACUGAAACUCCAAAUUCUACGAAGGUUACUGCUAGCUCCAACUAUUGAGAAGACCACUGCACCAAUUGUUGUUGAGCAAGUCAUUGCUUCAAUAGUAUAGGAGGUAAAGCAAAACAUCCCAAGCCUGAGCUCUCAAAGUAAUAUUAAUGUCAAUAUUUCCAUUGGUAAUGGCUUUUAAGAUUCUUGCUAAAAUGCAGCACGGUGAGAGCAUUGUUGCAAAUGAGCAACAGACAGUUGGAGAGCGCAUCGAUACUUUGUUUGACGAUUAUCAGACCAAGUUAAGUUGGGGUGAAGAUCUUCGAAUUUUGUUCUAGAACUCCUCGGCUAUCUCUCAGGAGUUUGAUGCCUUUGUCAGGUAUAUAUGAGCCUCAUGGCUUGAUUGUUCCAAUUAAACCCCUUCGAAAAUAAGGAAAACAGUAAACAUUGACAUCAUAGUGCUUAGCAUCAUAAUCAUGUAACGCAUGCUAGUUAACAUGGAUGAUGGGUUAAUUAGAGCUGUAUCUCUUUGAUGAAAAUCUUUUGAAAAUAUCUCCAUUAGCUAGUCCAUCACAUCUGAGUGACAAAUCGUCCAGAUAUAUUGGUUACAUGUAUAUAUCUCCUUUCCAGUUUCAGCCCCUAUCAAUAUCUGUGGGCUUGCUGUAUAGCUAUCAACAACGUAUACACAUCGACGUUGAACAAAUUGAUCGAUCACAGCAGAGGCUUCUCUAAACCACAUAAUCGAAUUAAUUAGGUAUAGGAAGAACGGAUUGGACGAUCGAGUCUGUAGGGCGUAGUGUUUGGCCAAGUAGCUAAGACAAAAUAAAUGGGGUGAGGGAACUUGACCUGUGUUCUUGGUCUUGUUGAGAGCCAUAUCUGCAUCCAUCCAUGAAUAAUGUAAGGUGAAGAAACGAAAUAAGCUGCUAGCUUGCUAGCUUGACCCAACAGAUCAGACUGUUCUGUGUAACUAGUCACGUGCUAUCGACCCCCAAGACCUUGUUUGGUUUGCAAGUAAUGGUAGGCAAGGCUGCCAAACCACGUGACCCAUGCAUAUAUAGUCGACCUUGCAUGCAUGGCUUCCAAAUCUACCACUCCUUUCUCCUAGCUUUGGUCCUAGCUAUUUCCCAAUUCCUAAAUUCCUUUUGGCUAUUUCUCUCACUAUAUCCAGUUCGGUUCUUGUGUUCAUGGGGAAGAUAGCGAUCGAUGUGCGAGGCUCACACUAUGUAUUAAAACUAAAUAGAAAAAGGAGGGACUUCUUGCGGAAGUGGCGGAGCCAGGACUAAAUUGUUACCGGGGCUAAUUGUAACACUAAAAAAUUUUUAACGAAUUUUGACGUAUUGUGCGAGAAAUUUUUACAAAAAAUCUAACUAAAUCUUAUAAAACGAGACCGCAAAACUUCAAUCGUAUCAGGUUUGUAAGAUGCAACGGGAUUUGAGAGAUCUAUAGUUAACUUUUAUCAAACAUAAUAACUUUUAGUCAAACUCACACAUAAAUAUAAUAACAAAAAAGUUGUAUAUUUCAACUAUAGAUGUCUCUCUCUAUUCAUCUUCGUCUCUCUCUUCCCAAACAAUUCUCAGUCACCAUACUCAGAGUCUCUUCACUAGAGCCUUCAACCUUGUCUCUCAAAGACUCAAACACCAACUUACCCCAAAAUCUCAUCGAAACCCAAUCACCAUAACUCCAUAAGUAAUCCCAGCAGACUCAUUCUUUCUCUUUCUCUUCUGAGUGAUGGUGCUAGAGAGAGAAACUAAAUCAUGACUAGAUCCUUCACCAAUGAGCAAACCUAACCUGAUUAAUUCACCCAUUAUCAGCCACAGUUACCUACGGCUAUAGCUUCGUCUUGACGAUCCCGACCCGGUGACUUCAAACUUCAAUUUAUGAAACAGAAUUCAUAUUAUGUAUCUAGUAUGGAAUCUGCCAAAGAAUAAACAUUUUGCAUUUGAGCAUGGUGUAAAUUUUUUUCCAGGCUUUAGAUUCUCACCUAGGCUCCAGCCCAGUCUUGACUGAGUUGGCUCGGCCACUAGUCUCAUGAUCACAAAAGGUAUAGAGCUAGUGUUUAUGUGUAACCGGUUAAGCAUAAACACUAGCGCUCCAGAUAACAGUCAUUGCAGUAAUAAUGCUACUCUUGUCAGAUUUUGUAUACUCGAAUAAUGUACGAAGUGUAUAUACGACAUUUACAAAAUUCUUUUUUUUUUUUAAGGAAUUUAUAAAGAAUAUAUACAAAAUUAAUAGUUCAAUGAGAUUAAAACAUGGAACAUAUAUACCGUAUAUCAAUCGAGAAUUUUAUAAUAUGUCAACCUAUAUAUGUGACAAAAACAAUGAUCACAUUUUUGACUUAAUUUUUGAUGAGAACUUUAUUACCUUAUUAACAAUGAUAUUUCUUAGUUAUCACAUGAGUUAUGGAACAGAUAAGAAUCAUGUGCUAUCUACUUAGGUGGUAAAUAUAACAGGCAUGAGAAAUGUUAACAUCAGGUUUAAUUUUGUGCUCUUUUUUCUUCUUGAGGUAAUAUUAGCAUAUACCUUUAGAUUUUAAUAAUAUCAAUUUGACCGAUGAAAACAACUAAUAGUAUUAGCAGUGUAAACCAUUUUGUGUUCAUAUCAACUCGCAUGCGUAGACUACUUGGCGUCCAUAUCAUUCGAUGUAUGGUGGUAAGUAGAGUUUGUGGAAGAGAUGGUGUGAUGCAUGCUUUGUUAUGAGGUUGGUUUUGGUAGGUAGCUUUAUUUAUAACAUUAUGGAAAUAAUCCAGCUUGUUUAAUACAACUACUCAACUACGUAUUACUUACUAUUCAACUAUCCUGCUUAUUUAGUGAAAUCUGGAUAGCAAAUAUUCUGAAUGUGCAAUCUAUAAACUGUCUUGUUUAGUGGUGAUGGUCAUGUGACUGUUCGCGUUCAUGUUUCUUGGCGAAACAGUGGAAUAAUCCGGUAAUUAUUAGGAUACCUUACAUGAGUGUAUGUUACCUAAUCUAACUAACGCUAACACUCAAAAUCAAAAAAUAAAAAAUAAAAAAUAAAUAAAUAUCUGUAUGUACUUACACAAGUACUAGAUAAUACCAGAGCUCCACAACCACAAUGGAAAAGGUCAAUGCUAGUAAGGAGAUUUAGGCUUAUCCAAUAGGAAGAUGCAUAAACUCUAACACGUAUAUGUUCUAAAUUCCAUAUAUCCAUUUUCCAAAUCCUAAUGAGUUGCAGUUCAAAAAAGAAAAAGAAAAAACCCCAAUUAAGGUUGUAAUUAUAAAUCAAUCCGAACUUAUUACUCAUGAAUUGACAUUUGGGAGUAGGCCAUACUCUGAAGCUAAUAUCGGGAUCAUAUUCAUUAAGAAAGCUCCAAAAGAAUAAAUGGUUGUUGUAACCAAAAAAAUAAUAAAUGGUGGUGACUGAUCAAGCUAGCUUUAUUAAAUUUAUUUAUUCAGGGGUUUUUAUGAGAAAGUUUUUUUUUAAUUUUUUUAUGAGUUUUUAUGAGAAAGUUACAUUUAUCUUUAACAAUGCUAGUAUACGUAUUAUUCCUACUUAAAUGGAGUGGGGCAUUUUGGAUUGGGAAGCUAGGGACCGUGGAAUCAUAAUAAGGCCAAGGAAGCAAACCAUCAUUACAAAUGAUAAUCUCACAUAUAUACUCGAUGAAUAAACAUUUUUGAAACACGCCCUGGCCGAAGGAGUUGAUCGAUGCAUAUCAAAACGAUUAAAUUUGUGGUCACUGUACAAAAGAAACCGUAUAAUAUCGUUUGUCUUUUAUGGUAGCCUAUUGUCACGCCCCGCCAAGUUAACAAAGAGCUUUCUUGAGCGUUUUGAUGCAAGCAUAGCUCAAGGAAGGUUUUGGAGAGCACAUGAGCAUUCUGGAAGCAUCCGGAACAUUAUGGAAGGUCCUGGAAGCAUCCGGAAUAUUAUGGAAGGUCUUGGAAGCUUCCGGAAGGAUCGGGAAGCAUGCGGACAACUCUAGAACUCUCUAGAAUCUUAGAGAGUCUCUAGGACACUCCGGAACACUCUAGAACCCUAGAGAGGCUAAAUGCUCAAGGCUACUCCGGAAGUUGUUAGAAUACUUAAGGCAACACUUAGAGUUGUAUAGAAAACUCUAGAAACCUCUAUACUUGUAAAUGUCCUAGAACUAUCUAGAACCUUAGGCAAUGAGGGAUGAUGCCUAUAAAUAGGAAGACACCCCUCUCAUUUGAGGCAUAGAGAGUUGGAUAGCAUUCAAGCUCACUUGUAAAGCUUUGUAAAGUUCUCUUAAAGCUUAAUACAAGUUCUCUCUUUCAAAGAUCUUCUCCCUUCAUUCGGGUGUUCUAGCCAAAGUGUUUGCGUGAGUAAGGCUGACUUAGCAUAAGGGAAGUGCUAAGGCCGCACGAGUAACUUAGGAAAAAGGAAGCUCGUGACACUAUUCUCUACAAAUAUUUGCAUAACCCUAAUACUAUUCAUUAAAGGCUUGGUCGACGAGUGCUUGAAUGGAGGCCAAAAGGAAAGGGAAAGGGAUGAUCGAUUUGUUGAAGGCUUGAAUCUAGGGGUGGGCAUGGGACAUGUUGGGACGAGAUUAGGGUCAUCCCACGGCUCAUCCCGGACAUUGCACACAUGACGGGAUUGGGACGGGCCUUACGUUUUUAAGACUUUAUCCCACGCAAGUCCCGUCCCAGACGGGACCGGGACAGGACGGGCCCAAUCCCGCCAUCCCGCCCCAGUAUUACCUGAUAAUGAUACCAAUAUAUUCCUACAAUAUAUAAAGACUGCAUCAUCUGAAUCCAUAAUUCAUAACUACAAUAAAACUAGAGUAACAUCAAUAAUCCACAAUUACUCAAGUUCACACAUCAUAAAAUUCAAAAGAAAACAGGAAAGUAGUGAAUCUGAUAGCACAAGCUCCAAGCUGCUCCAAAUACAAACAAUUUCAACUAUAAUCAUCGAUGACAAUACCGGUUGCAACAUACUUCUCUUUCCCUUUCACUGUUGCAGUUGGAGGUGGACAAUUGUUCUUGCUUGAAGCAGUGCUCUCAUGCUUUGCAAAAAUGAAAAAAAGUUAGUCCAUGCACCUGAAAAUAACCAAAAAGUAUAAACACAUCAAAAUUCAUACCUCGCUCAACAUUGUAAUAAAACUCUGUGUUUUCAAUUAUUGGUUCAUCAAUAUCUUCGACAACCUCUGCAAUAUCAUCACCUAACAUCCAGUUUUGCAUGCAAAUGAGUCUCUCCACUGAUUUAGGAGUUAAUGAUCUCCUAAAACAAUCAAUAGCUUUGUCCCCUGUUGAGCAGCAUGACUCAGAGGCCACUGUUGAGAUCUGAAUUGCAAGAACAUCUCUUGCAAUUGCUACUAAGACUGGAAACUUGCAUCCAUUAACCUUCCACCAACACAGGAUGUCAAAUUGAUCUUCUUCAUCGGUUGGAUCUAAUGCAGCAUCCAAGUAUUGAUCAAUUUCAUGAACUGCGACUGCCUCUUCAUUUUCUUGCACAACCUUCUUCCAAUUACUAAGACGUUAGCCCCUAUGGCCACGGUUAGUGCUGCUUCUACUUGUGAUAAUGCUAGAUGAAGAGGUUGGAGAUUACGGCCUCUGCAUGUGUAUACCUACAUCUACAUGAACCACAUACUAAGAAAAAAAAAUGCAGAAACUGAAAAUCAAAUAUAUACAAAAUGGAAACAUGUCACUUAGAAAAGAGUUGUCUUAUGCUAGAAACAGGUUACUUAGAAACAUAUAUAUACAAACACUAGAAAUAUACAACCUAACAACAAAUGCAACAGUAAUAGAUUGGAUAUAUGCAAUCAAAAAAAUAUCAGAAAAGGUGUAAACUGUAAAAUACCUGAUCAUAGAGAGCCAUAAGCAGGUCUUUAAUCACCUUUGUUCUCCUCUCCACCUCAUCAACAUCCAGAUUCUGUUCAUUAUACAUAUGAGUCACAUUCUUCAACUUAAAUCUUGCAUCCAAAACUAGUCCAAUGAUCAAUAUGUUGUUAAGGUCCCCAAAAGAGCCAAAAUACUUCAUCCAUCUGCUUCUCAUAUUGCCUGCCAUAUCUUGCAAUGUCUUUUCAGUUUCUGAUCCAGUUGUCAUCUCCGACGCCACAAACAAGCUAUUUAUGUUGUUUUCCAUAUCAAUCACAUCAACAAAAACAGUGUGCAGAGUAGGGUGCAAUGAUGCACUAUUCCUUAGAGUCACUCCCCAAAAAACUCUUAACAUAUCGACAAACACACUAGUCUUCAACCAAUCUCCUUCUUCUGGAGGUCCUACCCUUGCUCUCUUUCUGCGACUUAUCAACAUCACGUGGAAAAUACCUAUAGUUUUGGUUGAUGUGCCUAAGCAAUCCAGAGGUGCCACUCUUACUCUUAACAGAAAAGUCCCCAAUCUUACCCUUAGGACAGUAGAUGCAAUGAGCCCUUUUAUGAACUAUCUCAAUUAUCUUCCCCUCAGCAUCUUUCACUCUAUCAAUUUUCUCAUACUCUUUGAAAUACUCCCAAACAUGACUAGUAUGCUUCGUACCUGAUUGAGCAAGACCAUCACCAUCCUCACUACAAAUGCAGCAGCAGAAGCCACACCACCCUCGCCUACAGAUGCAGCAACUUGACCAACUUCAAUCCCGGGUUCACUUGAACUUGGGUUUGUAGCUUUGAGCAGAGGGACUGAUGUAACUGGAGGAGAUGGUGAUGCUACUGAUGUCGUCGUUGACGAAUUCUGAAGGCCAGAAGCAGAACGGUUGGGUCGCACAAUUACUUUCUUUCCUCUCGCCAUCGUUUUCGAGUAAUUCCCCCUGCAUUCAGCCAUUCAUAAUAAACUUAUUCAACUUUAUAGAUAAUCAAGUAAGAAAGUGAAGCUUCUUUGAAUACACACAUAUAGAUAAUCACAUAUGCAGUAACCACAUCCAAUACAUCAAAUUUUGAUACAUUAACCACAUCCACAUAUGCAGUAACCACAUCCAAUACACACAUGUAGAUAAUCAAUUAUUCUAUUAACCACAUCCAAUACAUCAAAUUUUGAUACAUUAACCAAAUCCACAUAUGCAGUAAUCACAUCCAAUACACACAUGUAGAUAAUUACUUAUUCUAUGAUACAUUAACCACAUCCAAUACAUCAAAUUUUGACAAUCAUAUACUAACUAAUUCAUGAUCAGUUUUACUAACAUCAAAUUUCCUAAUGUUACCUUUAACAUUAGAUCAGUUUUAUACAAUCAUAGACUAACUAAUUCAUGAUCAUGGUAAGCACAAUAAUACUUUUAGUAAACGCAAUAGAUAAUCACAUGAAUCUAUAGAUAAUCACAUAUGCAGCAGCAACAACUAAUUACCAGUAGCUCACCUUUACACAACACCUAUAGAAUUCAUGGGAAGAGUAAACAACGUUACAUGACAUGGUUCAUUACCUUGCACCUUGCUCAGAUUCUUGAUUUUUAUCGAUGAUGGUUAUAACGAAUUGGAUGAUGCUGCUGUUUCUUUAUCUGUCCAGAGUAGCACAUAUGAGAUCAAUAAGAUUACAGUAUUAAACCCCAGCUAUCAAGAUAAACCAGUUCCAGAGUAGCACAUACACACCUUAGCAGCAUGAGGGAGGAGGAAGGCGAGGCGAGGAGGAGGCGGGCGCCAAGGUGAGGAGGAGGCCGGCGGUGAGGUUAGCGGAGGCAGUGGAGGAGUUCAAGGAGGACUGGCAGAGGCGGUUUGGCUGGAUUGGGAUUUCAAGCAUCAUCGAUUGAGGUUUGGCUGGAGGGUUGAGAGUGACUUCCCUUUUAGAAGUUUAGGGUUCUUGCGAUGAAACUGAAAGACAGAGAGUGAAAGACUGCAACCAUAGUGAGAUGAGUUAGUAUUAGGGUUCAAAAAUGUAAGGUUGAGAUCAAAACAUCUAAAAAACUAAUGGCUUAGAUUAGUCUAUAUUUUCACACGGGACGGGACGGGUCUGACGGGCCUCAACUUUUCAGUCCCGCGUCCCGUCCCGUUGUUUCUCUACGGGACGGGACAAGACGGGCCUUAUGUUUUUAGAAUUAUAUCCCGUCCCAUCCCGUCAAAUUUCUGGAUGGGAUCGGGAUGGGACCGGGAUUUAGGUUUUUUAUGCCCACCCCUACUUGAAUUGAAUACUUGAAGGGAAUUAGUAUGUAGUCUUGCAUGAUAUUAGAUAGAACUGUUAGCAUGCCCGUACCUAAGGUGACGCUGAAGAGGCAGCCGCCUCAAGCAUCAAAACUUUGGGGGCAUCAAAUUCUUCUUUUUCUAUAUGUGUGUGUGUAUAUAUUUUCACAUAAACCUUAAACUUUUCGUUUCUUUCUCAGUUUCUUGUGUUCUUUCUACUGAGUCAUCUAAUUGUCUGGAGCUAAUUUUUUUUUGUCUAUAGUUACGUCAUUUUAUCCAAUUAUUCAUAGCUACAAAGUCUGAGGGGAUGCCAAAUUUUUUAUGGCCGAUGACCGUUGUUUUUUCCUCCUCGUAUUGAUACGGGUGUAUUUUAGUCUUUUAGGAAUUAGCCGAUUCCUUCUCCAAGUUAGUUAAGGAAAUAGCUUUUCUAGCUUGUUAGGGAAUAGUUUUUCAACUUAGUUUGGGAUUAGUUGUCUAACUUAGUUAGGGAGUACUCUCCAAGUUAGAUAAAGAUUUAUAGAGAUUUAGACUCUAUAAAUAUAGGUGUCUAGCUUAGUUCUAGAGACCAGAGGGUGAAACAGAGACAACAUCUGUUUACAUCAGAGAGCGAAAUAGUUAGAGAGAUAUCUGUUUAGAGUGUUAUUGUGAGAGAAGACAUUAGACAAUAAUCAUUGUACCAUUUUGCACAAUAAUAAGAGAAUGAUAUAAUUUUCUUCGAACUACAUUGCUUGUGUAUUGUAGUAUUGCUAGCAAUUCUGCUGUUAGCAGUAUCACCUGAGUAAUUCGUAUCACGUAUGAUCAUAGGACAUUAUUCUUAGAACUCGCCUCAAGUCUUCAAAUCUCAAGUCCGGUCGUCUGUUAGAUGUCAAUCUGUCAUGGAUUAUUAAAAACAAAGUGUUGAAAACUAAAAAACAACAAGAAAGAUAUCUUAAAACGUUUGAAGACUAGAUUGUGUUUGUAUUGAUGGUAAAUGUAGUUACAAUGAUAGAUGUAGAAUGAUAUGAUUGCGAGAAGGUAAAUUGAGUCAAAACCCUAGUAUAUAUAUCAUGUAUGACUUCACCGGCCUUUAACAUUCUCCACCAACGUAAGCGCACGCUAGCUUAAAGCAAGAAAACGAUUAAAGGAUUAGUGGAGGGUUGGUGGCAUGCUGUAGUGAGCAGCCUAUUAGCUUGAUAAGGAAAAAGGAAAAAAGAACCACAGCCAUCACAAGUAGACUCGUAAAUAGACCGGAUCUUAAUCCGGACCCACUCCGGAUCCAUGGUUUUUAAACGGGUUUGGAUCGAAAAUUAGACCCGUUAAUCCGUUAAGGACCCGGAUCCGUUUACCCGUUUAUUAAACGGAUCGGAUACGGAUCGAGGUUGAUCCGAUCCGUUAAGGAGCUGGAUCCGUUUAAAAAUAAUUAAAUAAUAUUUUUAUAAAUAAAAUAUUAUUGAUAAAUAUUAAAUAAUAUAAUAAUUAUUUGGAUAACCUAAACGUCUAAAUUGCGUCUAAAGUAUGAUCAUUUGAUGAAGUUGAAGGUUACGAUGCCUAUGUUUUUUUUAUGCUCUUUGCUAAAUACAUUGGAGGUUUAGUAUUUUGAAUAUAUUAGUUUAUUGUUAAGAAGUAUUUUGGCCAUGUAAUUCAACUUUUGAUGUAAACAUUUAUUUUGUUAUAAUAUUUUAUUAGUGUUUUAUGAAAAUUUAUGAUAAAAUUAAGAAAUUAUUAUUUAAAAUUUGAAAAUAUUUAUAAUCAUAAACGGAUCGGAUUAACGGGUCGGGUAUCCGUUAACCCGCCGGAUCCGGAUUUGAAUCUAGCUAUCAAAGAUCCAGCGGGUAACGGGUCGGAUCCGGAUCCAAAAUUUCUAUUACGGAUCCGGAUUCGGAUCUAGGUAGAUCCGCUCCAGAUCUGGUCCAUUUACAGGUCUAAUCACAAGUCUUAAACGUUAACGCAAAUUAGAACCUCUCUAUUGAUACCCAUGUCUUAUAGGGACGAAACCCACAACUGUUAAGUACAUCUCAUCAACAAGAAAUGAUUUCAUUUACCUUCACGAAACACCCUUGUAUCAGUUGUAUGUCUCUUUCUUAUUGUUUUAGCUUGGGAAUAAUAAUUCAUAGAGUCUGAGUCUUGCUAAAAUAUCAUUCACUCACAGAUUGAAAUCUCAAAUUAAAUAGAUAAUCGUAAACAGAUAAGGUUGUAUAAAUAAAAUAGAAAAUGACAUUUUAUUACCAUAGACAGUUGCAAAAUACAGAAAAACCAUUUUUCAACAGAUUUAAACAAAUAAGGACAUAUACUCAGGCCCACAAUGCAUAGUACCACGCCCUGUCAGCAAUUUUUUACGCAAAAUACCCAAAAAACCAUUAUUUUCUGAAAUAUCUACAAAACUGUCACUGGCUCAAAAUACCACUUCUCUACCAUUUUCAGAUCUGCACCGAUUCUUCUUCUUCUUCUUCUCUUCCUCUUCCUCUUCCUCUUCUUCUUCGCCGGUCACCGCUCCGACCAAAUUGCUAGGAGGCGAGGAAUGGAGGAGGAGCCGAAUAAUGAAAGGAUGAAUGUUGACUAAGGCUUCGCUGAAUCCAACCAGAUCUGAUUUGAUUAUUCUUCGAUCUCUACAACUUGGUUUACUCAAAGAUUCUUUGGAAUUAAAACCCAUAUCUUUUGAAUUUGACAACAAAAAGUGAUCAUUUGUAGCUAAUCCGUGCUCAUGCUUCAUGCUACUGCUGCAUUCUGCUAUGUGCUGCUGCGUGCUGCUAUUGUAUGUUGCUGCUGCGUGUGAUGUUGGUGUGUGUUGUUGUGUGCUGCUACUGUGUGUGUUGAUGUUGUGUGUUGUUGUUGUUGUGUGUUGCUCCUGUGUGUGUUGAUGUUGUGUGUUGUUGUGUGCUGCUACUGUGUGCUGUUGUGUGCUGCUACUGUGUGCUGUUGUGUGCUGCUACUGUGUGCUGUUGUGUGCUGUUAUUGUGUGUGUUGAUGUUGUGUGUUGUUGUGUGCUGCUACCAAGCUUCUAAAAGGCCCAGCCUAUGACCGCCUAGUCCCCGCUUAGGCUCUAGGCUGCAACAAGCCGCCUCGCUUUUCUUUCAGGCCUUUGUGCCAGGCUGUGGGCGAUUAGGCGGCCGCCUAGCUCGCCUAAAUGCCGCCUAGCCUGCCUAAAUGCCGCCUAGCCCGUCUAGGCUGUUAAGCUCUACGGCUAUUUUUGUUUUCUUUUUGUGGUGGGAUUGUUAUAUUAUGGGGAGUAUGAGAGUAUAAGAGUUAAUUGUGUGUUUAAAAUUAGAAGUGUAUAUGUUUAUUGAUGUUGUUGCUCACUUUUACAGAAAGUUAUACUAAAUUUUAGUUAUAAUUUAUUUUAUAAAUGAGUAUGACUAGAUUAUGUUGAAUAAUUUAUCUAUAUUUGACCGUUUUCAAAUAUUAAAUUACAUAAAAUAUAUAUUUUUAAUUAAUAAAUCUUAAAAAUACAAAUCGCCUAGUCCCCGCCUAAUCCUCGCCUAGGCUGUCCAGGCUCUAGGCUGUGGGUUACCGCUCGCCUAGCGCCUUUUAGAACAUUGACUGCUACUAUGUGUAUUGUUGUGUGCUGCUACUGCGUGUGUUGUUGAUGUGUGUUAUUUUGUGCUACUACUGCAUGUUGUUACUGCGUGCUGCUACUGUGUGCUGCUUUGUGCGUGUGUUGUUGUGUGCUGCUACUGCGUGUUGUUGUGUGCUGUUACUGUGUGUGUUGUUGUGUGCUGCUACUACGUGCUGUUGUGUGUUGCUACUACGUGCUGUUGCUAUGUGUUGUUGUGUGCUGUUACUGCAUGCUGCUACUGCAUACUGCUACUACACUAAGUUAUUAAAAACCUGCUACUGUAUUUCACUUAUUGAAAAAUCUCAAAAUGUGAGACUUUUCUCUUCAAAAAUCAUAUUUAAUUAGUAUAUGGUUAAUUUGGUAAAUUAAACCAUGACACAUGGCAUGCAGAGAAAAUAUUGUCCUUAAUUGUUAAAAACUGUCCUUAUUUGUUUAACAACACAAGUGGAUUUAUUUGUGUUUCAAAUCCUUUUGAAGGAUGGGAAAUUUUAAAUACACACCCCUAAUAUCUUAAUACACAUCCUUUACUUAAUACACCACUUAUCAAAUUUUUCAUUUCAAUAUUAUACUUAAUACACAUCCCAAACUGCCUAAAAUGCCCUUAAUUUAUGAAAUACUCCGUUAUUUAUAUAAUUAAUAUAUAUUUACUAUUUGGUACCUCUUUUGACAUAUUAUUUCGUCUAAUUUUUGCUAUCAUCGUUCAAUUUAUAAUCAAAUUAUAUUAUUGUUAUAUCCCAACUCCAAAUCACCAAUACAAGUUUUUAAAAAUUCACAAGCUAAUACAACUGUAGAAGUAUAGUAGCUAUUAAACAUAGAUAGCUAGUUAUUCAAUAAAACAUAUCAUGAUAAAAAUGCAGUAUUUGACAAUAUGAUCUACAAGAUUAAAUUAAAGCUGAUAAAGAUGCAGUAUUUGACAAUAUGAUCUGUAAGAUCAAACUAAAGCUAAUACGGAUACCAAAAAAAAGACAACCCAAAUGAAUUGUGGAGAAGAAUUGGGGUUAAGGAAGAAGACGUGCUUUCAACGAUUUUAGGGUAAAAGACGUUGGAAAGAAUACUUCAAGCGCGAUUUUUUUUUUUAAUAAUAGAUGUAUGUUUUGGUCAUUUAGCUUACCUAUAAAAUCUCAAUAAAAACAUAAAAUAAUAGGGGUGUGUAUUAAGAGAUUAGGGGUGUGUAUUUAAAAUUUCUCUUGAAUGAUGUAUAUGUGAUUUGCUAUAAAUAAAAUAAUAGUGUUACAACUUUCUCUAGUGUCAUUAUUGGUUCUCUUCUUUCGGAAAGCUUUUGCAUAUUUCAUUUCGCAAUGAGAUUCCGAGACCAAACGUACCAGAAACACUGUUUAUAUGUAUUAGUUUCUUAAUUACAUGAUUUUGGGCAUGCAUCAGCCAACCGUGUUUGUAUAUAAUUUGCUAGAAGUAGUCGGUGAGGGCCGGGGUUAGGUAUUUAUUUUGGCCUCACUUCAGCAAAUAGAAAAAAACAAAAAACUUGAUUGUUUAAUUUUAACGAACCAGCAGAAAGAAAUUAGUGGUGCGCUUGCAUGCAUGAUUAGAUUGGUGAAAUGUGAUCACCAACAACAUAUAAUUCCCAACCACAGUAUCAUUUGCUUAAUUUAUAACCAAAUCUAUUGCAAAGUGAAAGAUCGACUUGCAAGUCUAGUCUCCCGUAGAAAACAUUAUUUUGGCGUCUGCCUACACAUAUGUUGACCUACUACCCAAAUAGUAUUAACGAGUCAUAUAUGAUUCCUUAGACUUGACUUGAUGAGUUGGUUGGAAAAUGCAUUAAGAUAUAUCGCAGCAACAACCAUCCCCACUAAGGAAAGGAGUAGGAAUUUUGACCGAAAAUUCGUGAGAAAGAUUGAGGAAACUGGAAUUUUUGUUCAACGAUUAACUUUCUUUGUAAUUAUAACAUGUGACGCAAGACUAAAGCACCUGCAAAGACUAGCUUUUCAAAAUAGGAGUUUACUUUUGUAAUAUGCAUGACUCCAUCGAAAUCGAACUUAACCUUUUUUUUUUUUUUUUUUUUUUUUCCGGAUUAAAAAUUAAAGUAUCACAGAGAAAAACCUCCUAAUUGAUCAAACUGGAGGGCCGGAAAUCAAACAUGUGUGAUGAUUAAUUACAACAAGAUUACUAGUUAAGUAGCAGGAACAACAUGACAUGCAAUUUUAUUUGUAGAGUUCGAAGAUUCAAAGGUAAAUAGAUGAGAAUAUUAAUUGCUAGUGUGAGAUAGUUCAUGAUAACUCUGGGUUGAUGGGUUGCCAGCUCCUAAUCCAAAUACAUUUUGCCAUCAAAAAACAUUAGCAUUUUAAUAUAUAAAUAUAUUAAAAACUAACAACCAUUAGUUGUUGUCUUGUGAUCCAUGAUGCAUGCCUGAGUCUCAGUUUUUUCCAGCAACGUAACCAACAGGCAAGUGUGAACGCUUGGGAUGGUCCAAUUCUGUUAUGCCCCAGAGAACUUGCCAGUCCACUCAACAGAACUUGUUUUCUUUUAAAUCCUUCUACGCUGGAAUUGAAUUUCAAGAAGUCAUUCAUUUUCUCCUAGAGAUUGUUUUUUUGGACAAAUUGCCAGAUUGUUCGAAUUGCCAUGUUCCACAUAUUUAUUUGCAAAUUGCUAGUGAACAAACAAAAUAUAUUUUUUUAGUAGACAAAGCUAAUUUAUAGAAUUAAUUUUGUCUUCAGUACGGUUUACUUAGUUGACAAGCUUCCAUGUCUAAUUAAUUGGAUUUUUGGACCAGUUCUCUUCAAUGGCAGCCGAUUAACUGUUUUAUACUUUAUUUUAUGAAUGUGUAUUGGUGUAAAUAGCCUUUUAUGCCGAAACCAUUUCCUACCAAGAGCAGGAGUGACCUUUAUGUUCUAGAAUUGCCCAGAAUGCAUAUGAUAUAUGCAUGUGGUGAAGAACAUGAUGCCAAAGAAGCUAGGGUCAAAAACAUAAUGGAUGAAUAAAAGACUACGGGAGCUAAUAAUUCGGUUAUGUCUUAAAUUCAAAUUUAAUUCUACCUGUAAUUAAUGAAUCCUCGUUUAAUUUAUUAAGAAUUAUAAAGCUCAAGCUAGCUAGCACCAUUUAAAGAAAGCAAACUGGAUAUCGAUAUUCUGUUUUUUUUAAAUUUAUUUAUUUAUUUAUUUUUAAAUAAGGACUUGAAAGACAGUCUUCACGUCGUUACUAUUAGUGAAACCACAUAAUAUAAAAAUGAGACAUUAAACAUAAACACCAUAAUAUAAAACACUCAAAAACUAUAUUAGGAGCUCCUACAUAACUUAUGCAUUAUAACAAAAAUCAUUUAACAAAGAUUACAUUAUUGACUACUCUAUUUACUUUACAUAAAACAUGACAAGCCAUAAAAUACUUUGUUGAAGUUCUUGCUCAUCAUCUGGGUUUUUUUUAUGUGUAUCAAGUACAGUAAAUAGUAAAUAGGUGGAUCAUCAUGUAUUUUUAUAUUCAACAAUUGCAACUAGCUUACAAUUAAGUUCUCAUGUCACCCAACGCAUUUGAGGUUAUGAUUGAACAAAUUUUCAAGAAAGUGUAAUAUAUCAAGUAUCACAUUAAUUGUUUAGCUAAUUAAGGUACGUAGCUCUAAAGGCAGAAGGAACCAGAUUUUGUGGAAAGUGGCAAGGAUCAUGCUUUAGAAAGAAGUUGAGCCUUCAUGGCUCAGCAACUCGUAAUGAGGAUAUGUGUGGUUGAUUGAAAGGCGUGAAAUCCAUGUUUUUACUUGUUAAGAUGAAAUUAAGUUUCUAAUUAGGUCACUCAUGCUCAUAGAAUGCAAUAUACCCAAUAUUUCUACAAAAAAAAAAAAAAUAGUAAGGGAAAGUUUAUAUAUUCAACGAAAAUAUACACAUAAAUUCUCACAGCGCAACAAAAUAGUUAGUAGACUCAUGUUUUGUAGACAGUGAAAAUAUGUAACAACUUAAAAAGAAUUGGUAUUGCUUUAGCUAAAUAAGGAGUGAGACCCUCCUACGCUAAAUAACACAAAAGUGAACAUUCUAUUCUUACAUCAAACUAUGUAGAUAGAUACAACCAACUUGCGGACACCUUUUUAUGCUUUAUGGUGUUGGUUGAAGUGUUAACACACUGGUCACGUGUUACACUAUUAUCUACUGCUUAUGCUGCUUAUACUUCUACGGGCUCACUACCCAUUUUUUUAAAGAAGUUUAUCGGGAUGUAAGUUGAAGUGUCCUGUGCCCCAUGUUCACACGCAAUACGGUCUCACCGAGGCUACGACCAAGCAACUUUAACUUGUCGCUCGAACAUUAUUGAUGCGCACCAAUCUUUUUAUUGCGUCUUAGGGCUAUGCAAUAUUUGCAUGCAGCUUUACUAUUCAUCUACGACCCACCAUCAUUGAAUUUUGUUGUACUACAGCUCGUGACUGUGUACCAGGAUUGACACGAAAUUGCAAUCCUUGAGCUCGGCAAGAUUGAAACGGAUCUCCAAUCCUUGAGCUCGGCUAGAUGUUAUUUCUAGAUGCCAAAUAGCAUUGCCAUUGCGUACAAUGAUUGGUCAUUUGAGAUGAAUAAGUUUAGGUUGGAUAUGAACCUCCACCUAUAAUCCGCAUAUGUAGAAACCUUGUCAGGCGAUCUCAUUCACCGCUAAAUUGCGGAUUGUCANNNNNNNNNNNNNNNNNNNNCGUGAAUUGUCGUGGUUUGUCCCCACUAAGUCUCAUCUUGAUCCCAAAUGCUUAUAGUGUUAAAGUGAUGAGAUCACAUGCUGCAAAUAUGUCUGCAAGGAUUGAUGUCCUACAAAAGGACAUGGCGCGACCAAAAGAAGUUGGUCUUGGCGCCAUCACCAUGGAUGGUGAUAUGGUGACGCCAUAUAGUGGCAAAAUUGGUGUCACAAGGCCGUGUGGCUCCCUAAAAGGAGGGAGGCCCUUAGGUUCGAUAUAUCCUCGCACUNNNN